CGCUAUCACUCCUACGGGAGGCAGCAGUGGGGAAUAUUGCACAAUGGGGGAAACCCUGAUGCAGCCAUGCCGCGUGUGUGAAGUAAGGCCUUCGGGUUGUUAAAGUCACUUUCAGUAGGGAGGAAGGUAGUGUAGUUAACACCUGCAUUAUUUGACGUUACCUACAGAAGAAGCACCGGCUAACUCCGUGCCAGCAGCCGCGGUAAUACGGAGGGUGCGAGCGUUAAUCGGAAUUACUGGGCGUAAAGCGCAUGCAGGCGGCCUGUUAAGUCAGAUGUGAAAGCCCGGGGCUUAACCUCGGAAUUGCAUUUGAAACUGGCAGGCUAGAGUCUUGUAGAGGGGGUAGAAUUUCACCGGUGUAGCGGUGAAAAUGCGUAGAGAUCUGAAGGAAUACCAGUGGCGAAGGCGGCCCCCUGGACAAAGACUGACGCUCAGAUGCGAAAGCGUGGGGAGCAAACAGGAUUAGAUACCCUGGUAG
rnacentral:rRNA from 1 species